GUUUGGCGCGGGGGACCCAAAACCUGACGUGAUCGCCUGGCGAUCUUGGGGUGAAGUCCCAAAGUGGACCGGACACUCCAGUCCGAACCCGACAGCUGACCUCGUAAGCGAAUAAGUGGAGA
rnacentral:sRNA from 1 species